rnacentral:rRNA from 1 species
AGAGUUUGAUCAUGGCUCAGGAUGAACGCUAGCGGCAGGCUUAACACAUGCAAGUCGAGGGGUAAGGUUCUCUUCGGAGAAUACACGACCGGCGCACGGGUGAGUAACGCGUAUGCAAUCUACCUAUAACUGAAGGAUAGCCCAGAGAAAUUUGGAUUAAUACUUCAUAAUAUCAUAAUUUGGCAUCAUUUUAUGAUUAAAGCUCCGGCGGUUAUAGAUGAGCAUGCGUCCCAUUAGCUAGUUGGUAAGGUAACGGCUUACCAAGGCAACGAUGGGUAGGGGGUCUGAGAGGAUGAUCCCCCACACUGGUACUGAGACACGGACCAGACUCCUACGGGAGGCAGCAGUGAGGAAUAUUGGUCAAUGGACGCAAGUCUGAACCAGCCAUGCCGCGUGCAGGAUGACAGCGCUAUGCGUUGUAAACUGCUUUUAUACGGGAAAAAACUUUUCGACGUGUCGAGAACUGAUGGUACCGUAAGAAUAAGCAUCGGCUAACUCCGUGCCAGCAGCCGCGGUAAUACGGAGGAUGCAAGCGUUAUCCGGAUUUAUUGGGUUUAAAGGGUACGUAGGCGGAUUGGUAAGUCAGUGGUGAAAUCCUACAGCUUAACUGUAGAACUGCCAUUGAUACUGCUAGUCUUGAGUAUAGUUGAAGUGGGCGGAAUAUGUCAUGUAGCGGUGAAACGCAUAGAUAUGACAUAGAACACCGAUCGCGAAGGCAGCUCACUAAACUAAUACUGACGCUGAGGUACGAAAGCGUGGGUAGCGAACAGGAUUAGAUACCCUGGUAGUCCACGCCGUAAACGAUGAUCACUCGAUGUUGGCGAUACACAGUCAGCGUCCAAGCGAAAGUGAUAAGUGAUCCACCUGGGGAGUACGAUCGCAAGGUUGAAACUCAAAGGAAUUGACGGGGGCCCGCACAAGCGGAGGAACAUGUGGUUUAAUUCGAUGAUACGCGAGGAACCUUACCUGGGCUCAAAUGUAUAGUGACAGUCUCGGAAACGAGAUUUUUCUUCGGAACAUUAUGCAAGGUGCUGCAUGGUUGUCGUCAGCUCGUGCCGUGAGGUGUCGGGUUAAGUCCCAUAACGAGCGCAACCCCUAUUCUUAGUUGCCAGCAUGUAAUGAUGGGGACUCUAAGGAAACUGCCUACGCAAGUAGUGAGGAAGGUGGGGAUGACGUCAAAUCAGCACGGCCCUUAUGUCCAGGGCUACACACGUGUUACAAUGGUCGGUACAGAGGGCAGCCACUUGGUGACAAGGAGCUAAUCUCGAAAAUCGGUCUCAGUUCGGAUUGGAGUCUGCAACUCGACUCUAUGAAGUUGGAUUCGCUAGUAAUCGCGUAUCAGCAAUGACGCGGUGAAUACGUUCCCGGGCCUUGUACACACCGCCCGUCAAGCCAUGGAAGUUUGGGGUACCUGAAGCAGUUGAGCGAACUAUUCGUAGGCGCAGGCUGCCAAGGUAUGAUUGGUAACUGGGGUGAAGUCGUAACAAGGUA